GGUUAGGAAUUAGUUGAACAAGCUAAGAUAAGGGGAAAAAUUUAUUAUUAUCAUUAUUAUUGUUUUGAUCAUGAAUUAUCGAUGAUCAAUGUGAACUAUUAGCUUUAUUUUAAUUUGCAAUACACCUUAUAUUAUUACGAUUGUCAAUUUUAUUAUUAUUAUUAUUAUUAGUAAAAGAAAAGAAAGAAGAACAGAUCUGAAAGACAUAAACUUCAACAAUAUCAUGAGCUUCGAAAAAAGAUCUAAAAAGAUGCAAGCUUCAAUAACAAGAAAACAGUAGCGGUGACAACGCAAAACAAAGUAGAAGCGCGAUGAGACUAUGCAAAACAAGUGAUGGCAAGCUAAAACAAAAAAAGCGGCACAAAAAAGAUUGAACAGAAAAGCAAAAAAAAUGACUUUACACAGAAAUAGAGUAGAGCAGCGCGAGAAUCGAAAAAGAUUGAACGAGACUGAUGAUGUUGGGUGUACGUGUAAGAGCUAAACACGAAGGAAAUAAAAAUUAUGAUGAUGUUGGGUGUACGUGUAAGAGCUAAACACGAAGGAAAUAAAAAUUAAGACUGGGAGAUGAUUGAGAGUAAGAUGCAAAAAAUCCUAAAUGAGAGGAUAUUUGUCUUUUUCUAUUAAUUUGAUCUUAAUUUGAUGAUAAAAAAUUUUAAAAAUAAAAAAUUUUAAAAAUUGUUGAUUAAAAAGAUUGUCUCUGAACUUUUCAUUGUGAAAAAAUGAAAAUGAACAAGUAGCAUAUAUAAGUCAUAAAAUCAACAGUAAUAUGAGACAUAAUAGGCAGCUGCAUGGUGUAUGUGUUUCCUUGAGGGUUGUUUAUGGCUGUAAAAGUUGAGUUAGUUCUCAUGACCAAAUAUCACUACAACAUUCUUACUAAUUGGUGGAGGUUUUAUAGUGGAAGUUUUUAAAAAUCUCUCCAACAUAAUCUAUUUGUAGCAAUUUACAAACCCCCCAAAUAAAUUUACACAGCUUAAAACAACCACACACCCAAAGGCCCAUCCAAAUACUCAAAGUCCGUACCAAAGAUGCAAAAUAAGGAUAGCUUUGAAUGAGAAGGAGAGUGAACAAGACCAAUUGAUCGAAACCCUAAAUUGUAGUCUUCGUCAACGUCGCUACUGCCACCAUCGGCACCACCACCGCCACCGCCAUUCAUCUCCUUGCCACUAGCGCCAAUGCCACCACGUGCUUCGACAAUCUCGUUUUCUGUCUCUUCUUUCACCGCGUAUCUUGAGGUUGCGUCACGGAGGAAAAGUAAUACGAAGCUACUCUUAGUAGAGGAAUUAUUUGACUAAUCUGACGGUAAAUCCGACGGUACUCAACUUUUUUCUUGUAGUGAUACUUGGUUGGUACCAAGAAUCAAGUGAUCUUCUUUCAACCAUGCAAUGGCUUUUGAUUGUUUGCUUUUGCAAAUUCAGAUAGGGGUUUAGACACAGAUGAUAGAAGGUCAACUACAGGCUUUUAUGUCUAUUUAGGAUCCAAUAUGAUCUCAUGGGCAAGUAGAAAGCAACAUUUAGUAAGCAAAUCCAGUGCUGAAGCUGAAAUUCAAGAGCAUUGCAGUAGCAGAAACAGAUGUUCAAUGGAUCCGUCACCUGUUUAUAGAACAUCAAAUCAAAUGCACUCGUGUUCUAGUACUUUAUAUUGACAACAUUAGUACUGUGAUGCUCACUGCCAAUCUAGUUCUACACAACAAAACCAAGCACUUCAAUUUGAAUCUUCAUUCAGUUAGAGAAAGAGUCAAUUGAACACAACUUGUUAUAAUGUACAUUCCAGCAAUUGACUAAGUAGUAGACCUCCUUACCAAACCUCUCUUCCUUCACAGUUUUGAGAAAUUCAAAAUCAAACUCAAGGUAUUGUCUAAGAAAAUCAUGAGUUUGAAGCGAGUAUUAAGUAUGAAAGAGUCGAAGUAACUUAGUGAGCAAGAAGAAGAAGAACUCUUCUUUUGAUAAUUCUGUAUUAUAACUACUUUCAGAUGUCAUUACUAGUUUAGGCUGAGUCAGAUAUAUUUAAUUAGCUCUUUCUAUAUAUAAAUAGCAAGACUGCUUUUAUUGUAGAGUAAUGUAGUUACACUUUUCAUAAUCAAUUCCAUUAUGUUCUUCA